GAGACCUACACGAGCAAACAGCACAUGAGGCAUCAGCGAGGUAGGUGGUGCUCUCAUUUACAUAACUUAUUUAUUCGCAGUCAUUUAUUGAUUUCUAUCCCAAUCAAUUGUGUUGUCCGUUGUUAUAUGCUAUUUUCCAUUUCCUCCCGUGAAAAACUCAGAUACAGUAUUGUUACCCUCUGCUAAAGCGGCCCUUCUAAUGACUUGCUCUAGCUCACAUUCUCAUGCUUACUUAUGGUCAUUACUUGUUGAUGGUGCGUCAG
ensembl:lncRNA